rnacentral:lncRNA from 1 species
GCCCUUGUCCUCCCAUCUCGCCGUUGCUCCUGGGCGCGAUGGAGUCUGAGCCUGACAUCUACACGGAACUGGAUACACGGUCCCUGUCAGCCACUUCUUCCCUUGUGCUCAGUGGACUGUUUAUAACGGCCGUGUUUGACUGUUAAGCUCUGUGUGGGUAGGAGUUGGGAACUGAUUAUUUAAUAUACAUUCCAAGGACCUUCUAUAUUCCUAUAGAAUCUUUGGCAACUGAUUUACUAUGAGACGUUUACUCAAGAUUUUCAUCUUCUGUAAUUUACACCAGUUCUCUAAACAGUGGAUUUUGUCUUCUGAGGGAAGCAGAAAGUGAAUGAAUGGCUUUCAGCAAUUGCUUAAGAAAAUGACUCAACUGAGAAGCAACAGUCUUCAGAGUGGAGCCAAUGCUGUGUUUGCCGUGGUAGAAGCAGUCUCCCAGAGUUUGAAGAGGUAGACAUCAAUUACAGCAUCAGUUAAUUACAGCUCAGUUACAGACCAUAGCAGAAGAGAGUAGUUGCACUCUCAAACAGGAAGUGCAACUACUUUAAUGCUCCAGCAAAAGAAAGGAAGAUUUCCUUCUUGCCCAGCAACAAGCCCAGCCAAUGGAAAAUGCUGCAGCUUAGCCAAUGAGAAGUUGUUGUCACCUGAACUUUUAUUUUCCUCUAAUGGACUUUCAUUGUUUCCCUGCUGAUAUCUUCCUUUCCUUGUCCUGGUCUCCUUACCAUAAGAGUCUUCCAUGUUGUAUAACACCUUGGAGUGUCUCUUUGCGUACCACAAGUGUUACUGCUU